GUCGUUGUUGUUGUGUUGACAGCUAUUGUCGAGUCCGUUAUGAUCAAAAGUAGGUCUAUUCCAUCCGUCAAAGUGACGUUUUAAACGUCAAACAUAAGAAAUCUUUUAAGUAGUCAGUAAUUUCGUUGAUUUUUCUUAAAUUGUUUUUCACUAACUGG